AUAUUAAUAAGCGGAGGAAAAGAAACUAACAAGGAUUCCCUUAGUAACGGCGAGUGAAGCGGGGAAAGCUCAAAUUUGAAAUCUCCAGGGGCAGCCUUGGCGAAUUGUAGUUAAGAGAAGCGCUUGUUGGGGCGGAAGCUGGUCUAAGUGCUCUGGAACGAGACACCAAAGAGGGUGAGAGUCCCGUGUGGCCAAGAGUUCUGAGCUCUCUAC
rnacentral:rRNA from 1 species